rnacentral:rRNA from 1 species
UACGAAGGGGGCUAGCGUUGCUCGGAAUCACUGGGCGUAAAGCGCACGUAGGCGGAUUGCUAAGUCAGGGGUGAAAUCCUGGAGCUCAACUCCAGAACUGCCUUUGAUACUGGUGACCUUGAGUCCGGGAGAGGUGAGUGGAACUGCGAGUGUAGAGGUGAAAUUCGUAGAUAUUCGCAAGAACACCAGUGGCGAAGGCGGCUCACUGGCCCGGUACUGACGCUGAGGUGCGAAAGCGUGGGGAGCAAACAGG